rnacentral:rRNA from 1 species
CCUAUGGGACGCAGCAGGCGCGAAAACUUCGCAAUGGGGGCAACCCCGACGAGGGAAUUCCAAGUGCUAGCACUUUGUGUUAGCUGUUCUUCUGUCUAAAAAACAGGAGGAGUAAGGGGCGGGUAAGACGGGUGCCAGCCGCCGCGGUAAUACCCGCGCCCCAAGUGGUGGUCGAUAUUAUUGAGCCUAAAACGUCCGUAGCCGGUCUUCUAAAUCCUUGGGUAAAUCGGGCAGCUUAACUGUCCGAAGUCCGGGGAGACUGGGAGACUUGGGACCGGGAGAGGUCAGAGGUACUUCUGGGGUAGGGGUAAAAUCCUGUAAUCCUGGAAGGACCACCGGUGGCGAAGGCGUCUGACUAGAACGGAUCCGACGGUGAGGGACGAAGCCCUGGGGCGCAAACGGGAUUAGAUACCCUCGUAGUCC